rnacentral:misc_RNA from 1 species
AGAAAGCUUUUCUAAGAAUGAAGCUUUUAGUAACACUAUCAAGGAUGCAUUUGAGCAUCUCAUAAACAUCCGCCAGAAUCGACCUGCUGAGCUGAUUGCUAAGUUUUUGGACGAGAAGCUUCGUGCUGGCAAUAAAGGUACAUCAGAGGAGGAAUUGGAGGGGACAUUAGAUAAAGUCCUGGUUUUGUUCAGGUUUAUACAGGGUAAGGAUGUAUUUGAAGCAUUCUACAAGAAGGAUCUUGCAAAAAGACUGUUGUUGGGUAAGAGUGCGUCAAUUGAUGCUGAAAAGUCCAUGAUUUCUAAGUUGAAGACCGAGUGUGGCAGCCAGUUCACCAACAAAUUGGAAGGAAUGUUCAAGGACAUUGAAUUAUCAAAAGAGAUAAAUGAAUCCUUCAAGCAAUCUUCCCAAGCCAGAACAAAGCUCCCAACAGGGAUUGAGAUGAGUGUCCACGUUCUGACAAUGGGGUACUGGCCGACCUAUCCCCCCAUGGAUGUUCGACUUCCCCACGAACUCAAUGUCUAUCAGG